UACGUAGGGACGACGACGUUGUUCGGAUUUACUGGGCGUAAAGGGCGCGUAGGCGGCGAGUCAAGUCAGUUGUGAAAUCUCUGAGCUUAACUCAGAACGGUCAAGUGAUACUGCUGUGCUAGAGUGCGGAAGGGGCAAUCGGAAUUCUUGGUGUAGCGGUGAAAUGCGUAGAUAUCAAGAGGAACACCUGAGGUGAAGACGGGUUGCUGGCCGACACUGACGCUGAUGCGCGAAGCCAGGGAGCAAACGG
rnacentral:rRNA from 1 species